rnacentral:rRNA from 2 species
GAACGCUGGCGGCGUGCCUAAUACAUGCAAGUCGAACGAGUUCUCGUUGAUGAUCGGUGCUUGCACCGAGAUUCAACAUGGAACGAGUGGCGGACGGGUGAGUAACACGUGGGUAACCUGCCCUUAAGUGGGGGAUAACAUUUGGAAACAGAUGCUAAUACCGCAUAGAUCCAAGAACCGCAUGGUUCUUGGCUGAAAGAUGGCGUAAGCUAUCGCUUUUGGAUGGACCCGCGGCGUAUUAGCUAGUUGGUGAGGUAAUGGCUCACCAAGGCGAUGAUACGUAGCCGAACUGAGAGGUUGAUCGGCCACAUUGGGACUGAGACACGGCCCAAACUCCUACGGGAGGCAGCAGUAGGGAAUCUUCCACAAUGGACGCAAGUCUGAUGGAGCAACGCCGCGUGAGUGAAGAAGGCUUUCGGGUCGUAAAACUCUGUUGUUGGAGAAGAAUGGUCGGCAGAGUAACUGUUGUCGGCGUGACGGUAUCCAACCAGAAAGCCACGGCUAACUACGUGCCAGCAGCCGCGGUAAUACGUAGGUGGCAAGCGUUAUCCGGAUUUAUUGGGCGUAAAGCGAGCGCAGGCGGUUUUUUAAGUCUGAUGUGAAAGCCCUCGGCUUAACCGAGGAAGCGCAUCGGAAACUGGGAAACUUGAGUGCAGAAGAGGACAGUGGAACUCCAUGUGUAGCGGUGAAAUGCGUAGAUAUAUGGAAGAACACCAGUGGCGAAGGCGGCUGUCUGGUCUGUAACUGACGCUGAGGCUCGAAAGCAUGGGUAGCGAACAGGAUUAGAUACCCUGGUAGUCCAUGCCGUAAACGAUGAAUGCUAGGUGUUGGAGGGUUUCCGCCCUUCAGUGCCGCAGCUAACGCAUUAAGCAUUCCGCCUGGGGAGUACGACCGCAAGGUUGAAACUCAAAGGAAUUGACGGGGGCCCGCACAAGCGGUGGAGCAUGUGGUUUAAUUCGAAGCAACGCGAAGAACCUUACCAGGUCUUGACAUCUUUUGAUCACCUGAGAGAUCAGGUUUCCCCUUCGGGGGCAAAAUGACAGGUGGUGCAUGGUUGUCGUCAGCUCGUGUCGUGAGAUGUUGGGUUAAGUCCCGCAACGAGCGCAACCCUUAUGACUAGUUGCCAGCAUUUAGUUGGGCACUCUAGUAAGACUGCCGGUGACAAACCGGAGGAAGGUGGGGAUGACGUCAAAUCAUCAUGCCCCUUAUGACCUGGGCUACACACGUGCUACAAUGGAUGGUACAACGAGUUGCGAGACCGCGAGGUCAAGCUAAUCUCUUAAAGCCAUUCUCAGUUCGGACUGUAGGCUGCAACUCGCCUACACGAAGUCGGAAUCGCUAGUAAUCGCGGAUCAGCACGCCGCGGUGAAUACGUUCCCGGGCCUUGUACACACCGCCCGUCACACCAUGAGAGUUUGUAACACCCGAAGCCGGUGGCGUAACCCUUUUAGGGAGCGAGCCGUCUAAGGUGGGAC